rnacentral:rRNA from 1 species
GACGAACGCUGGCGGCGUGCCUAAUACAUGCAAGUAGAACGCUGAAGGAGGAGCUUGCUUCUCUGGAUGAGUUGCGAACGGGUGAGUAACGCGUAGGUAACCUGCCUGGUAGCGGGGGAUAACUAUUGGAAACGAUAGCUAAUACCGCAUAAGAGUAGAUGUUGCAUGACAUUUGCUUAAAAGGUGCAAUUGCAUCACUACCAGAUGGACCUGCGUUGUAUUAGCUAGUUGGUGGGGUAACGGCUCACCAAGGCGACGAUACAUAGCCGACCUGAGAGGGUGAUCGGCCACACUGGGACUGAGACACGGCCCAGACUCCUACGGGAGGCAGCAGUAGGGAAUCUUCGGCAAUGGACGGAAGUCUGACCGAGCAACGCCGCGUGAGUGCAGAAGGUUUUCGGAUCGUAAAGCUCUGUUGUAAGAGAAGAACGAGUGUGAGAGUGGAAAGUUCACACUGUGACGGUAUCUUACCAGAAAGGGACGGCUAACUACGUG